GAACUUACCAGGUCUUGACAUCCCCCGCGAUGCUUUAGAGAUAAAGCGGAGGUAUUCGGGGAGACAGGUGGUGCAUGGUUGUCGUCAGCUCGUGUCGUGAGAUGUUGGGUUAAGUCCCGCAACGAGCGCAACCCCUAUUGCUAGUUACCAUCAUUAAGUUGGGGACUCUAGCGAGACUGCCAGUGAUAAACUGGAGGAAGGUGGGGAUGACGUCAAAUCAUCAUGCCCCUUAUGACCUGGGCUACAAACGUGAUACAAUGGCUGGAACAAAGGGAUGCGAAGCAGUGAUGUGGAGCGAAACCCAUAAAAACAGUCUCAGUUCGGAUUGAAGUCUGCAACUCGACUUCAUGAAGUCGGAAUCGCUAGUAAUCGCGGAUCAGAACGCCGCGGUGAAUACAUUCUCGGGGUUU
rnacentral:rRNA from 1 species